rnacentral:rRNA from 1 species
GUCGGUGAGGUAACCUUUUGGAGCCAGCCGCCUAAGGUGGGAUAGAUGAUUGGGGUGAAGUCGUAACAAGGUAGCCGUAUCGGAAGGUGCGGCUGGAUCACCUCCUUUCUAAGGAA